rnacentral:rRNA from 1 species
CAUGUCUUUUUGAUUAUAAUUUAAGGUCUAAUCUGCACAAUGAGGAUUUAAAUUGCUGCAGUAUAUUGACUGUGCAAAGGUAGCAUAAUAAAUAGUUUCUUAAUUAGAAACUGGUAUGAAUGAUUGGACGAGAAAAUUUCUGUUUCUUAUUAAAUAUUUAUUGAAUUUUAUUUUUAAGUUAAAAAGCUUAAAUUUUUUUAAAAGACGAGAAGACCCUAUAGAGUUUAAUAUUUUUAUAAGUUAUUUUUUAGUAAUUUAAUUUAAGAAGAAGUAUUUAGUUGGGGUGAUUGAAAGAUAAAUAAAAUUCUUUUUUUUAUUAGUUAAUGAUUUUUAAUUUUUUUAUUUAAUUUUAUUAAAUUUAAAAUAAAUUACCUUAGGGAUAACAGCGUAAUUUUCUUUUAAAGUUCAUAUUAAAAAGAAAUUUUGCGACCUCGAUGUUGGAUUAAAAUUAAUUUUUGGUGUAGUAGUUAAAAAAUUAGGUCUGUUCGACCUUUAAAAUUUUACAUGAUCUGAGUUUAGACCGGUGUAAGCCAGGUUGGAUUCUAUCUUUAGAAUAAAGAUAUAUUUUAGUACGAAAGGACCAAAUAUAUAUUAAAUUAAUUA